UGUCCUACGGGAGGAAGCAGUAGGGAAUGAUUCAUAAUGGGGGAAAGCCUGAUGGAGCAACGCCGCGUGGGUGAAGAAGGUCUUCGGAUCGUAAAACCCUGUUGUUAGAGAAGAAAGUGCGUGAGAGUAACUGUUCACGUUUCGACGGUAUCUAACCAGAAAGCCACGGCUAACUACGUGCCAGCAGCCGCGGUAAUACGUAGGUGGCAAGCGUUAUCCGGAUUUAUUGGGCGUAAAGGGAACGCAGGCGGUCUUUUAAGUCUGAUGUGAAAGCCUUCGGCUUAACCGGAGUAGUGCAUUGGAAA
rnacentral:rRNA from 1 species